GAUGAACGCUGGCGGCGUGCCUAAUACAUGCAAGUCGAGCGAGCAGACGAGGAGCUUGCUCCUCUGACGUUAGCGGCGGACGGGUGAGUAACACGUGGAUAACCUACCUAUAAGACUGGGAUAACUUCGGGAAACCGGAGCUAAUACCGGAUAAUAUAUUGAACCGCAUGGUUCAAUAGUGAAAGACGGUUUUGCUGUCACUUAUAGAUGGAUCCGCGCCGCAUUAGCUAGUUGAUAAGGUAACGGCUUACCAAGGCAACGAUGCGUAGCCGACCUGAGAGGGUGAUCGGCCACACUGGAACUGAGACACGGUCCAGACUCCUACGGGAGGCAGCAGUAGGGAAUCUUCCGCAAAGGGCGAAAGCCUGACGGAGCAACGCCGCGUGAGUGAUGAAGGUCUUCGGAUCGUAAAACUCUGUUAUUAGGGAAGAACAAAUGUGUAAGUAACUAUGCACGUCUUGACGGUACCUAAUCAGAAAGCCACGGCUAACUACGUG
rnacentral:rRNA from 1 species